GGCAAUAGGCUGGGAGCUAUAGCUCCAAUUCAGUCCCAAGCCUGGGAACUUCCAUAUGCUGCAGGUGGUGUCCUAAAAAGCCAAAACAAAACAAAAAAUGAAACAAAAAACCCCAACCCUAUAGGAGUUUAGUAAUCUGAAUUUUUAUGUGUAUUUUUCUUCUUUAUCUCCAGGGUAUAGAAAGGUGCCUGGUAAAUGUGUGGUAAAUAUUUUUUUGAAUGAAUCACUGGGUGGCUGAAGUUAAUUAGUUAUUAUAUAUGAGAUAUUGGGGGGGGGGCUGCGUUCCAAGUCCAGUCUUCAAGGAGUUUCCCAAGCUGUAUGUGAUGAGUUUGCUAAUCUUUGUGGAGAGUGUUCCUUUGCCUAGUCCUGUGGCACAUGCCUCACUUGCACUGUCUCACUCAGUCCUCAGAGCCCCCUCCUGGAUCAAGUGCUAUCAUUAGCCCCUUCCUACAGACGAGAAAACUGAGGCUCAAAGAAGUGUAGUUAAUUUGCCUCAGGUCACCUGGCUAGAAAGGGGGUGGAGUUUCCCAACGGCUUUGACCUACGGUCCCUCCCUGCUUUUUAUAUCGGUCAUGUCAAUGAAAUCCUAAUUCUUCUAUUUCACAUUUUAAAUAAGCACAAAGUGUCAUCUUGUCCUUUAGAGGUGUCUUAAUUCUCACAGACUUGAGAUUUUCAACUUUUGUUUUUUUUUUCUAGUUUAUCCUAUGAAAAUUAGCUUUUUACUUUUUCCAAAUAUAACAUUCUAUCCUUUAUCAAAUACGCUUUGUAGAUACUAGAUGGCAAUUCUGAUGCUCCGUGAACUACAGGGGGAGACUAAACUUUUUAGGACUCUGAGAGAAAGCAGAGCAGGUAAGCCCUGCAUUAAGGCCAGGGAUGGUUUCCUGGGUGAAAAAAUGCAUUGGCCUUUGUGUAAGCUUGAUGGAAUAUUGAGCUUGGCUCUCUGAUUUCUGAUUUUUUGCACUUUCUUGACUGGGGAAGUUUUCACAAAAACAUAUGCAACUUUAGGGACCAAAAAAUGUACUUGCACAAAAAUGUGCAUAACUUUAGGUACAAUAAUGUACAAAACUUUGAGUCAAUUUUUUUUUAGCAUCUUUUAAAAAAGUGAUCUUAAGUUUUGUUUGAGAAGAGGCAAGACACUAGCGAUGGCUUGAAAACCACUGGGACAUUUGGAGUGUUCUUACUGGCCUGUCUGCAGCUAUUUCUAAUUAAGUAUUUCAUGAUCAACUUGUGAUUUGAUUUCAGAAUCUCAGGGUAAACCUUAGGCUGACCUAACCUGAUUAUUUCCUCAGCCUGGACUUUUGCUGUGCGUGCUCAGGGUCAAAUGUAAUUAAACAGACGUCCCUGCAGAGUGGCUUUCUUUGAACAGUACCGAUAUCCACUGACUGUGACUGAGUCACCAGCUGUGAAAUCUACCUGAUAGUCCCAGAGUGGAUCCCGUCUAGGGACAGCUACUGCUCCAACUGGCUGGUGGUUAUCUUGCUGGUGGAGGUGGUCAGCGUGGGCCUGAGCUGCUAUCCAGACCCUUUUCCUGGAGGGAGAGGGUGGAGGAUAACAGAGAUGUCCUGCCAGCCUCGAGCUGGCAGCAGUGUGGGGACAUCUUGUGACACUGACUGUAUCAGAUGCUUCGCAUGGAGCAGACCAGGUCAGUUCUGUGACCCACAGCGAUGGCUUCAGCAGGUCCCUGGGGCAGGUGGGUAGUAGUGUGGCCUCUCUCACAGGCCACAUCUCUAAUGUUGCAAAAGCUGUGCUGAGGAAGGGAGAAGACCAGGGACCUGAAGAUGUACCUGAAUCCAAGACAAAGGAAGCUGAAGACCCUCAGUCCAUCUUCAAAUCAGGGAAUGAGACACUGAAAAUUUCAAUUAGGAAACAGAGUGAUACCGUACGACACAAGAAAUAGUUCCUCCACAGAGACCAUCAUUGCAAGAACUACUGGAACAGCCACAAGCAGGGUCUGAUGCUGACAAUGAAGUCAUGAGACUGAGCAGCUUAAAUCUGAACAAUGAUCUUAUUGAAGAGAAGCUGAAACUUCAAAAAUGACUCCAAGGUUUAGAGGAAGAAAACGCAUUAUUAAGUCAAGACAAGGAAGAACGUCAAUUAUCACUGUCAAAUUGAGCAAUGAUUAUAGAGUCAUUAAAAUACAGCUAUAAGAGAGAGACAUGAAUCCAGAUUCAAAAGUUCACUUACGAUGUGACCUGGAGGGAGUUACUGUUGUAGCUCAGCAGGUUACAAACCUGACUAGUAUCUGUGAAAAUGUGGCUCUGAUCCCUGCCCUUGCUCAGUGGGUUAUAUAUCCCACAUCCCCAUGAGCUGUGGUGUAGGUCUCAGACAUGGCUUGGAUCCUGAGUUGCUGUCACUUGGCCUGGGGGUGUUGAAGUGGACAUGUGUAAA